AUGCCUUAAACUGAUGAGUAAGGAAAAUAACGAGUCGGGGUGACGCCCGGUUCCUCGCUCAAAACUCGCGAGAGGAAUUUUUGGAAGGGUACAGGUCGACCCGAGGUGACCCGCUUACUUUCGCGGGAUGCCGAGGAGCACCGAUCUGCCCC